GUUGGUGUUGAUGACAACGAGGGUCCACCUGUUCCCAUUCCGAACACAGAAGUUAAGCUCGUCGGUGCCGAAGAUACUUGGCUGGUAACGGCCCGGGACAAUAGGAAGACGCCAACA
rnacentral:rRNA from 1 species